CAAGUCAAUACUUAAUAAAUAAUUAAUUGAAAUAAUUCCAUAGAUUUCCACAUUGCAGAACCAUUUAUACACUGAUGCAUGCUACUCAAUUCAAGUCCAUUCUCAUACUGCUGCAGUCUCUUAUAAGUAAGUAAGUAAGUGUGUGUGUGUGUGUGUGUGUGUGUGUGCGUUUGAGACAGAGACCCUAAGUAACUUGGACAGUGUGAAUAAUCAGUGUGCUGCUCUUUUACACAUGCAUGUAAAUAAAAACAUACACACCGUGACUGUCAGUCAGUCAGAUGCUGCUCAUGUUCAUUAGGAACAGGAAAGGUUGAAAGCAGAUUUCCAAAAAAAAAAAAAAAAACAACAAAAAAGAUUUGCCUUCGGCUGAACGUUUCAUCAUUUCACUCCUGAAAAAUGGGACAUCUGGUCAGUCAGAUUAAAAAUCUAAUGUUUCUCAACUAAAGAUGAUUUUAUUGCUUAUACUAAACUUAAUUUCAACAAAUUUCUCAAAAACUAGAUGAAUUAGGUAGCGUGAGUGUGACCAAUUCCCUUAGUAUUAAAGCAAACUAAUUACAGUAUAUUAUCACAAAGAUUUUGGCACUAAUGGGAACUGUAAAUAUAGUACUAAAUUUAUAUGAAUAAAACAUGUAUGGUAGAACAGUGCAGAGGUCAUGUGGCUGCUGCAAAAUACCAGCGUUGUGAUUUUGAUUCUCAGUUUUUCUUCAGUGCACUAAGUUGCAUGUUCAAUCUUAAAAUCAAACUACUCUAUACUUCGGUGCUGGCAGAACUUUUCCUUCUCAGCCAAAGUAACUUUUUUAGUUAUAAAGUUAUUAAAAGGUGAGAACAUGAGAGAAAAGGAUUUGUUUUGAAAUUUCCCCAUGACCCGAUGAUAGAUCAAAUAAGUGGUACAGACAAUGAAAUGAAAUGAAAUAGUAAAAUAAAAAAUGUUGUGUAUUAACUGGCAUUUUUUUCUGCCAGAAAAAUAGAGACAGGAACUCUUAAAAUAAACGCAAUUUUUGUCAACAAGAAUUUUUCUUUUUUGGGACUUUUUUGCACGAGUUUGUGUUUCGGGAGUUAACUUGAGUAAUUUUUGAGAAGAUCUUGUAAAAAUAUUUAAAAACUGUGUUUGCUGUAACAAUACUACUCCAGGUUAGAACCAGGGAAAGCCAAUACCAGCGCCAGCACAGGCUGGGAGAUGUCUGUCCUGGAGGUCGUGAAAGGGCAUGAACGAACCAGGCACAGAACACCAUUAACCAUCUAAGACCCAGGACCCAGGAGUGGGGUCCAGUUAUAGAAUCUGAUAAGGAUGUGUGGAGGGGACCAGCCCACCACAGCACAAAUAUCCUGGAGGGGAAUGCCCCUAGCCAGCGUGCUGGACAAGGUAAUACACCUAGUGGAGUGGGCCGUAAUCCCUAGAGGCAAGGCUUUUAGGGUGAUAGGCCCUAAAGGAGGUGUGUUUGCAGGAACUCUAGCAUCGCAUAACAGAGCAUGAACUAGAUCCUGACAAUGCUAAUUACAGAACAGGUGAAAGCUCAACAUAGUCUCCACAAACUUGGUUGGGAGACCAGAGUCUAGGAGCUGGUCCCCCUCAGAGGUUCCAAAUCUUGGGGUGGUGGUGGAGAAUUGGUUCCUGUACCUGAGAGAGGAGGCUCCUCCAGAGGGGAAUCUCCCAUGAAGCGAAAUUUAUUCAUGGUCUUGCUGGUGUGCUCCACUUCGUCACAUGACCUAUUCUGAUGCUUUUAUAUGUUCUUGGAUUAUCGCCAAUAUAUUUUUGCCUGCUGUGUAUUCUUGAAUAAAUCUGCAGAUGGAUUCUACUACUUCCGCAUCUGGGAUUUGAGGUUCCUUGCUUGUGGGCCAGUAUUCAAUCCAAGUCUGCUCACCCAAAAUGUACUGCAACCUGACAAGAACAAAUGAUACAAAUAUUCAGCCCAUGAUGACUGUGGUGAACAUACUUGUCAUCUAUCCUUGGGAGGUCAACACUGUGGCCCAUGAUGAGAUGCUGCGUCCUCCAGAGAUUACAGUUUGCUGCAUACGGCAUCAAGAAUGUCUUUCUUGGGAAAAGUAACUGUAAUAAAAUGGACUAUUCCUUGUGAGGAAGAACAAACUGUAUACAGGAGAAUGCAGCAAAUGAAAUCCCAUGUGAAAAUGGAAAAAAA